rnacentral:rRNA from 1 species
UUUGAUCCUGGCUCAGAAUGAACGUUGGCGGCGUGGAUUAGGCAUGCAAGUCGAGCGAGUCUACCUAGUAGCAAUAUUGGGUAAGUCGAGCGGCGUAAGGGGCAGUAAUACCUGGGAACGUACCCUGAGGUCGGGGAUAGCUGCUGGAAACGGCGAGUAAUACCCGAUGAUCUUGGAAAAGCAAAGGCUUGCCGCCUUGGGAGCGGCCCAGGCGAUAUUAGCUAGUUGGUGGGGUAAUGGCCUACCAAGGCUUAGAUGUCUAGCGGGUGUGAGAGCACGACCCGCGCCACUGGCACUGAGACACUGGCCAGACACCUACGGGUGGCUGCAGUCGAGAAUCUUCGGCAAUGAGCGCAAGCUUGACCGAGCGACGCCGCGUGCGGGAUGAAGGCCUUCGGGUUGUAAACCGCUUUGGUCCGAAAGAAAGGGUAAAACUUGAUCGAUCGGAGAAACAAGGACGGGCUAAGUUCGUGCCAGCAGCCGCGGUAAGACGAACCGUCCAAACGUUAUUCGGAAUCACUGGGCUUAAAGGGCGCGUAGGCGGCCGAGCGGGUCGUGGGUGAAAUCCCCCAGCUUAACUGGGGAACUGCUUACGAUACCACUGCGGCUCGAGGAAGGAAGGGGCAAUUGGAACUGUCGGUGGAGCGGUGAAAUGCGUUGAUAUCGACAGGAACGCCUGUGGCGAAAGCGAAUUGCUGGUCCUUUUCUGACGCUGAGGCGCGAAAGCCAGGGGAGCAAACGGGAUUAGAUACCCCGGUAGUCCUGGCCUUAAACGAUGAGAACUAGGUAGUGGGUCCGACCUGGGCACACUGCCGAAGCGAAGUCUUAAGUUCUCCGCCUGGGGAGUAUGGUCGCAAGGCUGAAACUCAAAGGAAUUGACGGGGCUCACACAAGCGGUGGAGCAUGUGGCUUAUUCGAGCUACGCGAAGAACCUUACCAGCUGACAUGUGCGAAAGCGCAGUGUACCUGGCUGAAAAGGUCAG